rnacentral:rRNA from 1 species
AUGUACCGGGGCUAAAACAAUUUACCGAAGCUGUGGAUACCUUUAUAGGUAUGGUAGGAGAGCGUUCUAUGUGUGAUGAAGGUAUACCGUGAGGAGUGCUGGAACGCAUAGAAGUGAGAAUGCCGGUAUGAGUAGCGAAAGACAGGUGAGAAUCCUGUCCACCGUAAGACUAAGGUUUCCAGGGGAAGGCUCGUCCGCCCUGGGUUAGUCGGGACCUAAGGAGAGACCGAAAGGUGUAUCCGAUGGACAACAGGUUGAUAUUCCUGUACUAGAGUAUGUAGUGAUGGAGGGACGCAGUAGGCUAACUAAAGCAGACGAUUGGAAGAGUCUGUCUAAGCAGUGAGGUGUGAAUUGAGUCAAAUGCUUAAUUCUAUAACAUUGAGCUGUGAUGGGGAGCGAAGUUUAGUAGCGAAGUUAGUGACGUCACACUGCCAAGAAAAGCUUCUAGCGUUUAAACAUACUCUACCCGUACCGCAAACCGACACAGGUAGUCGAGGCGAGUAGCCUCAGGUGAGCGAGAGAACUCUCGUUAAGGAACUCGGCAAAAUGACCCCGUAACUUCGGGAGAAGGGGUGCUGACUUAAAGUCAGCCGCAGUGAAUAGGCCCAAGCAACUGUUUAUCAAAAACACAGCUCUCUGCUAAAUCGUAAGAUGAUGUAUAGGGGGUGACGCCUGCCCGGUGCUGGAAGGUUAAGAGGAGUGCUUAGCGUAAGCGAAGGUAUGAAUUGAAGCCCCAGUAAACGG